rnacentral:rRNA from 1 species
CGUAGGUCCGAGCGUUGUCCGGAAUUAUUGGGCGUAAAGGGCUCGUAGGCGGUUUGUCGCGUCGGGAGUGAAACUUGGGCUUAACCCAUUCGUGCUUCCGAUACGGGCAGACUAGAGGCAGGCAGGGGAGAACGGAAUUCCUGGUGUAGCGGUGGAAUGCGCAGAUAUCAGGAGGAACACCGGUGGCGAAAGGCGGUUCUCUGGGGCCUGUUCUGACGCUGAGAGCGAAAGCAAUGGGGAGCGAAACAGGAUU